CAGGACGAACGCUGGCGGCGUGCUUAACACAUGCAAGUCGAACGAGAAGUAGAUGAGAAGCUUGCUUCUUAUUAAUUCGAGUGGCAAAACGGGUGAGUAACGCGUAAGCAACCUGCCCUUCAGAUGGGGACAACAGCUGGAAACGGUUGCUAAUACCGAAUACGUCUUUUUGUCGCAUGGCAGAGGGGAAGAAAGGGAGGCUCUUCGGAGCUUUCGCUGAAGGAGGGGCUUGCGUCUGAUUAGCUAGUUGGAGGGGGUAAACGGCCCACCAAGGCGACGAUCAGUAGCCGGUCUGAGAGGAUGAACGGCCACAUUGGGACUGAGAUACGGCCCAGACUCCUACGGGAGGCAGCAGUGGGGAAUAUUGGGCAAUGGGGGAAACCCUGACCCAGCAACGCCGCGUGAAGGAAGAAGGCCUUCGGGUUGUAAACUUCUUUUAGCAGGGACGAAGGACGUGACGGUACCGUAAGAGAAAGCCACGGCUAACUACGUG
rnacentral:rRNA from 1 species